GACGAACGCUGGCGGCGUGCUUAACACAUGCAAGUCGAACGCUGAAGCUCAGCUUUUGUUGGGUGGAUGAGUGGCGAACGGGUGAGUAACACGUGAGUAACCUGCCCCCUUCUUUGGGAUAACGCCCGGAAACGGGUGCUAAUACUGGAUAUUCACUGGUCUUCGCAUGGGGGUUGGUGGAAAGGGUUUUUCUGGUGGGGGAUGGGCUCGCGGCCUAUCAGCUUGUUGGUGGGGUGAUGGCCUACCAAGGCUUUGACGGGUAGCCGGCCUGAGAGGGUGACCGGUAACAUUGGGACUGAGAUACGGCCCAGACUCCUACGGGAGGCAGCAGUGGGGAAUAUUGCACAAUGGGCGAAAGCCUGAUGCAGCGACGCCGCGUGAGGGAUGGAGGCCUUCGGGUUGUGAACCUCUUUCGCUCAUGGUCAAGCCGCAACAAUGGUUGUGGUGAGGGUAGUGGGUAAAGAAGCGCCGGCUAACUACGUG
rnacentral:rRNA from 1 species